rnacentral:rRNA from 1 species
CGGGGUGAGUAACACGUGAGCAACCUGCCUUUCAGUGGGGGACAACAGUUGGAAACGACUGCUAAUACCGCAUAACGUGCCGGAAGGGCAUCCUUUGGUACCAAAGAUUUAUCGCUGAAAGAUGGGCUCGCGUCUGAUUAGAUAGUUGGUGAGGUAACGGCCCACCAAGUCGACGAUCAGUAGCCGGACUGAGAGGUUGAUCGGCCACAUUGGGACUGAGACACGGCCCAGACUCCUACGGGAGGCAGCAG